UACGGGGGGGGCAAGCGUUGUUCGGAAUUACUGGGCGUAAAGGGCUCGUAGGCGGCCAACUAAGUCAGACGUGAAAUCCCUCGGCUUAACCGGGGAACUGCGUCUGAUACUGGAUGGCUAGAGUUUGGGAGAGGGAUGCGGAAUUCCAGGUGUAGCGGUGAAAUGCGUAGAUAUCUGGAGGAACACCGGUGGCGAAGGCGGGUCUCUGGGCCGAUACUGACGCUGAGGAGCGAAAGCGUGGGGAGCGAACAGG
rnacentral:rRNA from 1 species